CCUACGGGAGGCUGCAGUGGGGAAUAUUGGACAAUGGGGGCAACCCUGAUCCAGCCAUGCCGCGUGUGUGAAGAAGGCCCUCGGGUUGUAAAGCACUUUCAGUGACGAAGAACGCCUGGUGGUUAAUACCCAUCAGGAAAGACAUCACUCACAGAAGAAGCACCGGCUAACUCCGUGCCAGCAGCCGCGGUAAUACGGAGGGUGCGAGCGUUAAUCGGAAUUACUGGGCGUAAAGCGCGCGUAGGUGGCUUGAUAAGCCGGUUGUGAAAGCCCCGGGCUCAACCUGGGAACGGCAUCCGGAACUGUCAAGCUAGAGUGCAGGAGAGGAAGGUAGAAUUCCCGGUGUAGCGGUGAAAUGCGUAGAGAUCGGGAGGAAUACCAGUGGCGAAGGCGGCCUUCUGGACUGACACUGACACUGAGGUGCGAAAGCGUGGGUAGCAAACAGGAUUAGAUACCCCAGUAGUC
rnacentral:rRNA from 1 species